rnacentral:rRNA from 1 species
CCCAGACAGCCAGGAUGUUGGCUUAGAAGCAGCCAUCAUUUAAAGAAAGCGUAAUAGCUCACUGGUCGAGUCGGCCUGCGCGGAAGAUGUAACGGGGCUAAACCAUGCACCGAAGCUGCGGCAGCGAACGUAUCACCCAAGACAACUUUACGGAGUUGACGAUUGACGGAGCGAAGCGACGUCAAAGCGUUCAUUAAAGUCGAGUUGGCUUAGGGAUACGUUCGUUGGGUAGGGGAGCGUUCUGUAAGCCUGUGAAGGUGUGUCGUGAGGCAUGCUGGAGGUAUCAGAAGUGCGAAUGCUGACAUAAGUAACGAUAAAGCGGGUGAAAAGCCCGCUCGCCGGAAGACCAAGGGUUCCUGUCCAACGUUAAUCGGGGCAGGGUGAGUCGACCCCUAAGGCGAGGCCGAAAGGCGUAGUCGAUGGGAAACGGGUUAAUAUUCCCGUACUUGGUGUUACUGCGAAGGGGGGACGGAGAAGGCUAUGUUGGCCGGGCGACGGUUGUCCCGGUUUAAGCGUGUAGGUGUGUGUUCCAGGUAAAUCCGGUUCACUUUAACACUGAGGCGUGACGACGAGGCACUACGGUGCUGAAGCAACAAAUGCCCUGCUUCCAGGAAAAGCCUCUAAGCAUCAGGUAACAUCAAAUCGUACCCCAAACCGACACAGGUGGUCAGGUAGAGAAUACCAAGGCGCUUGAGAGAACUCGGGUGAAGGAACUAGGCAAAAUGGUGCCGUAACUUCGGGAGAAGGCACGCUGACACGUAGGUGAAGUGAUUUACUCAUGGAGCUGAAGUCAGUCGAAGAUACCAGCUGGCUGCAACUGUUUAUUAAAAACACAGCACUGUGCAAACACGAAAGUGGACGUAUACGGUGUGACGCCUGCCCGGUGCCGGAAGGUUAAUUGAUGGGGUCAGCGUAAGCGAAGCUCCUGAUCGAAGCCCCGGUAAACGGCGGCCGUAACUAUAACGGUCCUAAGGUAGCGAAAUUCCUUGUCGGGUAAGUUCCGACCUGCACGAAUGGCGUAAUGAUGGCCAGGCUGUCUCC